rnacentral:miRNA from 1 species
UUCGGCAUGGGUGCUCGCUACA